UACAGAGGUGGCAAGCGUUGUUCGGAAUUACUGGGCGUAAAGGGCGCGUAGGCGGCCCACUAAGUCAGACGUGAAAUCCCCCGGCUUAACCUGGGAACUGCGUCUGAUACUGGAGGGCUUGAGUAUGGGAGAGGGAUGUAGAAUUCCAGGUGUAGCGGUGAAAUGCGUAGAUAUCUGGAGGAAUACUGGUGGCGAAGGCGGCAUCCUGGACCAUUACUGACGCUGAGGCGCGAAAGCUAGGGGAGCAAACGGG
rnacentral:rRNA from 1 species